GUAGGGGUGCAAGCGUUAUCCGGAAUCAUUGGGCGUAAAGAGCUCGUAGGCGGUUCAGCAAGUCGGCUGUGAAAUCCCGAGGGCUUAACCUCGGAACUGCAGUCGAUACUGCUGUGACUAGAGUCCGGUAGAGGAGAAUGGAAUUCCCGGUGUAGCGGUGAAAUGCGCAGAUAUCGGGAGGAACACCAGUAGCGAAGGCGGUUCUCUGGGCCGGUACUGACGCUGAGGAGCGAAAGCGUGGGUAGCAAACAGGAUUAGAUACCCUGGUAGUCCACGCCGUAAACGUUGGACACUAGGUGUGGCGUUCCGACCAACGGGUGCCGUGCCGAAGCUAACGCAUUAAGUGUCCCGCCUGGGGAGUACGGCCGCAAGGCUA
rnacentral:rRNA from 1 species